UCUGUAGGAUUUCCUCUGUGAAAACUUUAUAAUUUCUAAGUUCACUAUUUCUCUCGGUCACUCACUCUGUGUUUAAAAACAGUUUCACUUAGGCAUUGCUCAAUCAGUGCUAUUCUUACAUUCUUUUAUUUUUGGAGCUGGAACUUUGGACCUGUAAGAUGGCUCUGAGUAGUGGCCCUCGCUAAGAAGCAGUGAGCUCCAAGGCCCUUGGAAAUGGAGAGAGAUUGGGGUGACUCCUCUUCUGUUUGCUCUCCUUGCCAGACCUUUCAAUGAGCAAGCUGUCCUAUGCCCAAAAAGCAGGCUUUGGUCAGGUGUUCAGGGCUGAGCACCAGCACCAUAGCCAGACCAGAUAUCACCUGAAGACAUUUUCUUGGAUUUUUCAGGGUGCAGACUCCGCUGUGACCGCUGGCCUGAGCUGCUCCAGAGCUCAGUGACUGGCUGGGUGCAGCAGCAGGCUGAGGAAACAUGGCAAAGCUGGGAAGAGAGAAACCAGGUUCUUAAAGGGUUUCAUGCUGUUGGAGCAGAUGGAAACCGCCACAGCCACCACUUCUGCUCUGUGGGACGGAGCACGUCGCUCUGCGCAGGGUCAACAGUGACUAUCUCCUGUCACCACAACUUACACGUGACCAGGAGGGCGGAUGCUGCAGCCCAGCAGGUGCAGGAGAUUCCACGAUGUGUUAUCUCUGGCCACGGACUGUCCUGUUUCCAGGAACACUCUUCUGAUGGAGGAGAUAAGAGCCUGCCAGUAACUUCUCUUUGUGCAAAGGAGUUGGCAAGAAUGUCUUCAUCAAAAUGGCUUUGUAGUCGCAUUAGUUUCUAAGAAGUGCAGGAGGAAAUAUAGAUACAGCUGCAUGUUAUAUCCUAUAAUUUUUUUACAUAUUCUUUUUAGGUAAUUGUGUCAUAUUUGCUGUGUAGAUGGUAAAUUAAAUGUACUAUGAA